UAGGGAAUUUUCCACAAUGGGGGCAACCCUGAUGGAGCAACGCCGCGUGCUGGAUGAAGGCUCUAGGGUCGUAAACAGCUUUUAAUUGUGACGAUUAUGACAGUAGCAAUUGAAUAAGGGUCGGCUAACUACGUGCCAGCAGCCGCGGUCAUACGUAGGACCCAAGCAUUACCCGGAAUUACUGGGCGUAAAGAGUUGCGUAGGUGGUCUGUUAAGCAGGGUUUGAAAUUGUAUGGCUCAACCAUGCCCCCAAAUCCUGAACUGACAGACUUGAGCACGAGAGAGGUAACUGGAAUUCCCUGUGUAGGAGUGAAAUCCGUAGAUAUAGGGAGGAACACCGAUGGCGUAGGCAGGUUACUGGCUCGUUGCUGACACUCAGGCACGAAAGCGUGGGGAGCGAACAGG
rnacentral:rRNA from 1 species